AUUCUGUAGAAGGAAACAAAUGAGGAGAAAUUAGGCAGCACUAUCAGCAUCUCCAAGGAGGAUGCAGCAACAAGGCACCAUCUUAGGAGCAGAGACCAGACCCUCACCAGACACCGAACCUGCCAACACCUUGAUCUUGGACUUCACAGACUCCAGAACUGAGGAGGCAUUUUGUUCUGGGGCACUUCAUCUGAAAAGAUGUUAAAACUAGAGAUAGCCAGGUAUUUACACAGGAAAAACAAAUCCUUAAUAUAUACUAUAUAUAAUAAAAUACUCACGGAACAUUACUUCCCUGCAAGAGCUACUAUUGCAGCCUGGAUUCCUGUGAAUGUGCUUCACCAGUUCUCUUUACACUCAGCAAGACCCUGAUCACAUGCUGAUCACACAGACAGAGCCAGAUUCAGACAAUUAAAGCUGUGAUUUGCUUUUGCUAGCAUCAGAACUUGAUAAGCCAAUGGUAGCAUUCAUUAAUGUAGUAUAUUAUAAGCAACAGUGAAUUACCCACAGUUAGUGACUAAUAAUAAAUUAGCAUGGUUAUACUAAUCACAAAAAGAAGGUCUACAAAUAGUAGAUCAUUUUAUAGCAUGAAAAACAGAAAGUUUGAAUCAGGUUACACAAAAUCACUAAAUGGACAACUCAAGAAGACACGUUUGCCUCCCUUUGACUUAUGCCCAGUUCUGAACCUUGUUUCCAGAGUCUCUUUCACUACUGCAGGAUGUGGCCUCCACCACAGCAAUACUGCUCUUCUCUGUACAUUUCCACCUCAAUUAAGGAACCAACUUGUCUCUGUUUUACCCAGAACUUUGCUAGUUUUAGUACAAGAAGUCCCACAUGGUAACUGUAAUAGGCAGUUUUGGUAACUGUAGUAGGCAGAAAGAUGGCUCCCCAAAGAUGUCCACGUCCUAAUCUCAGGACAAGCGUAUUUAUUACCUUAAAUAGCAAAAGAGAUUUUGCAAACGCCAUUAUAUUAAGAAUGUUGAGAUGGAAAGAUUAUCCUGGAUUAUCCUGGGUCCUAUAUAAUCACACAGGUCCUUAAAAUUGGAGAACCUUUGGCCGGGUGCGUUGGCUCAUGCCUGUGAUCCAGCACUUUUGGAGGCCGAGGCAGGUGGAUCACCUGAGGUCGGAAGUUCGAGGCCAGCCUGACUAACAGGGAGAGACCUCGUCUCUACUAAAAACACAAAAAUUAGCCGGGCAUGGUGGCACAUGCCUAUAAUCCCAGCUACUCAGGAGGCUGAGGCGGGAGAAUCACUGGAACCCAGGAGGCAGAGGUUGCGGUGAGCCAAGAUAAUGCCAUUGCACUCCAGCCUGGGCAACAAGAGCAAAACUCCAUUUCAAAUAAAUAAAUAAAUAAAUAAAUAAAUAAAUAAAUAAAUAAAUAAAAAUUGGAGAACCUUUUCCAAGUAUGGUCAGAGGUAAAUGUGACUCCAAAAGAAUGUUCACAGAAAUGGAGGAAGGUGGCCUUUGGAAGUCAAAGAAAUGGAUUCUUCUCUAGAGUUUCCUAGAAGCAAUGCAGCCCUACUGACAGCAGCCCCAUGAGAUCUACAUUGGAUUUUUUACCCACAGAACUGUACUAUCAUAAAUGUGUUUAGUUAGGCAACUGAGUUUGAGGUAAUUUUUUAUGACAGCAAAUGAAUGCAAUAAUCAACUCAUCCUGAUUAGCUCAGGACUGUCCCACUUUUGAAACUGAAAAUCCCACACCCUGGGAACGCUUCCAGUACUGGACAAAACCAAUACAAUUGAUCACCCAACCUCCAAUUUUUAUCCCACAACUUCCAAAUUUUAUCCCCUAGCAUUGAGCUCUAGAAUUCCCCACUGGCAUCUAGGUACUCUUCAACUGAAACUACUGGGCUACUCCGAAGAUAAUCCAAGCAGUGGCUCUCAAACAUUAGGGUCCAUCGCAGGCUCCUGGAGGACUUGUUAAAACAGACUGUUGGGGCUGGGCGUGGUGGCUCAUGUCUGUAAUCCCAGCACUUUGGGAGGCUGAGGCAGGCAGAUCACCUGAGGUCAGGAGUUAGAGACCAGCCUGGCCAACAUGGUGAAACCUUGUCUCUACUAAAGAUACAAAAAUUAGCUGGGUAUAGUGGUGGGCACCUGUAAUCCCAGCUACUCGGGAGGCUGAGGCAGGAGAAUCGCUUGAACCUCAGAGGUGGAGGCUGUGGUGAGCCAAGAUGGCACCACUGCACUCCAGCCUGGGCAACAGAGUGAGAUUCUGUCUCAAAAAAAUAUAAUAAUAAAAAUAAAAACAGAUUGUUGGGUCUAUCCCCAGAGUUUCUCAUGAAGGAGGUUAGGAAUGAAGCAUAAGAAUGUGCAUUUCUAACAUGUCCUCAGGAGACGCUGAUGUGCUGGUCUAGGGACCAUACUUUUAAACCACUGUCCUAGAGACAAAAACCUCUGGGACAGCAUUGAAUAGAAUUUCACCUGUUCAUCUAUAUCCCAGACAUAGGUAAAAAUUAGAUGGGUUUGUGGCCAAGUACCAAUUAUCACACCUCAACAAAAUGGUGGUAAAGAACAUACUCUGAAAUCUCCCCCAAAAUCUGCUAGAACAUUUGGUAAGGGUUCUGAUCCCAUUCCUGCCUUCUACAAGCUUUGGGCCCCUGGGCAAGUUCUAUUGUGUCAAGUCUCAGAACUGGAACUAAUCCAUGUAAACUACCUUGCAUGGUAUCUGGCAUAGGACUUAUGCUCAAUAAAUGA
ensembl:lncRNA novel transcript